rnacentral:tRNA from 6 species
GGGCGAGUGGUGGAACUGGCAGACACGCACGACUUAAGAUCGUGUGCCGCAAGGCGUGUGGGUUCAACUCCCACCUCGCCCA